ACUGAAAAUAUCUUCUGGACAUCAGAACAGCGAUUACUCACCAAGAACUGGCAGAAGCUUUUUUUUCCUUUAAAGAGUGUGAUAGAAAAAUUACAUAUUUACCUGAUUUGUUUGAUAUUAAUAGUUAGAAAUUGAUACUUAACAAAUAGGAGGAUAUUUCUGUCCUGUUAGUGUCUGUGAAAUUCGCUCAGGCUAUUUCGUUCGGAUUUCAGAGCACUGGUUUGAAUGUACCAGAGCGCAGAAUAGCUGAUGAAUUCACAAAUGUUCAAUGCCGGUUGAAUAUGGCCGGUAUAAGUAAACGUUAGGGAAAUAACGUAAUUUCAAUUAUUGUCAGCCGCAUAGUUAGUCACCAACGUUUUGAAUAAACAUGAAAAAAGCCUAACCAGCUCUGCUAGGUGAAAAGAAUGGAGAGUGAAGAUGUAUUCUCUUGUGUCUGGAAGUAGCGUUAGCUAGCCAACUUUAGCUAGUUAGCUUGGGUGCUUGACUGCCUUGUGGCAAGUAAAGUAUUAUGCAUUAUGAAUCAGAGAGCUUGGCUCAACCCUGCUCCUUAUUAGAUUUUGGGGUUGAAUAAUCCUUGUGAGAAUCAAGGACAGUGGAUAUUAGGUAACAUAUUCAAAUUGGCAGUAUAUAUGGGCAAGAGCACAAACAAUUUUACGAAUAGUCAAACUUUGUAUCACGCCAGUGAGCGUGUAGAUUUGGUGAUUCUGUGUUGAUACAAUAUGUAGUGAAUUUGUUAUGGCGUAAAACCUGUGAACAGACGUUAUGUUUGUUUUGACUAUCAUUUCAUACUUUUGGCAUGUUUGUUCUUAGAUAUAGCAGCCAGUGUUUGUUUUAAGAUGCAAACUGAACGUUUUAAAAGCUUGCUUGGUUCAAAUUGAAAGGCUCAAUUAUUCAACAUAAAUAGCAAGGCGAUUUCGAGGUUAAAACAUUGUGUGGCCUAAAUGGUCUUUUGGAAUAACCUAGUGCGAAUGGAGUCAUAUUUGAAACAUUGAAUCAUGAACUGAAUGUAUGCUUGUAAACAAUUGCAAGUGUUUGUUUUCUUACCUGUAGCCUACUCAGAAGACAGUUGCCUAAAUCUAAUGUAUUCUAAAAUUAUAAUCUGUUUCCAUUACAUGGAACAGUGUCCAGUAAUUAAAGCAGAUUUAAAUAAGUAUUGACUGUUAAGCUGAUAAAACAGUACCAACUUUUUGAAGGUUCUACAUUUGUUAAACAACAGUUUUAUAUUUUUACUAAAUUAAUGCAACAGGUUAAACUGAUAAGAUUACUGGAAAGGGGCUCUGGGAUUGUUUAUUUUAGACGGGGUCGGUUCCACUUAAUGGAACACGGUAUUAUCUGAUGUGUCUUGAGUAGGAUUCUUGCAACCAGUACUGAUGGAAGUCCAAUAGAGUAUGUAUGUUAAUUAAGGGUGACGUAGGAGAACACGCUCAAACAACUUUUUAAUAGAUGCCUGGGAUCAAAUAUCACUGAUUCCUUACGCUGAGAAAUUCACUACAUUUGCGACAGAAAAAAGUAUUACAUUUAGAGGGGUAACAGGAACAAUCUAAGGCGAAACAGCUAUUACAUAUGUUGUUGGACAUUGGUCUAAUAACGAUACCAGGAUAAUUUUACAAAGAGAGACCAGUCAUAUAAUACGAUAUGGGAGUGAAUUGUUAGACUCGGUGGAGAAUGGGGGUGGUCAUUUUCUCUCUCUUUGAAACGUUUCCUGAGGCUAUGGUCUUGGAAGAGCGUUACUGUCUUGUCUCAUCACUGCAACUCCCAUACGGACUCGGGAAAGGCAAAGGUCGAGAGCCAUGCGUCCUCCAAAACACAACCCAACCAAGCCGCACUGCUUCUUGACACAGCGCACAUCCAACCCAGAAGCCAGCUGCACCAGAGGAAACACAUACACCUAGCAACCUGGUCAGCAUGCACUGCACCCAGCCCACCACGGGAGUCACUAGUGCACGAUGAGACAAGGAUAUCCCUGCCAGCCAAACCCUCCCUAACAACGCUGGGCCAAUGGCGCGUCGCCCCAUGAGCCUCCCGGUCACGGCCGGCUGCGGCAGAGCCUGCGCUUGAACCCAGAGUCUCUGGUGGCACAGCUAACACCGGGAGGCCUGUACUAUAUACAUUUUACAGAGACAAUCUAUUUUACAAUAGUUAUCUUUUGUUUGUUUUUACUCCUAUCCUUCCUCUACCCUCAACCCCUCUCAUCUAUUUUUGAAGACCAUCAGAUUUGAUUUAUUUUUGCCCUAUAUUUUUAACUGUGCUGUUUCACAAAAGUUCUGACCCUAUAUACAUUUUACAGACUUUCAAUUAGUUAUCUUGUUGUUAUUAGUCCCACCCUUCAGCUCCAUUCAACCCUUCCCAUCUAUCACUUAACACCAUCCAUAUUGGAUUUCUACUUGCCAUAUAUUUUUCAACUGUCCUGUGAUAUUUUACAAAUGUUCUGAACCUUUCUAUUCUCAUAGUUUCUACAGAUUGUAAAUUAAAGAUAAACAUUUUUGGUAAAAGUAUUAUUAUAAUAUUUAUCGAUUGACUAUGACUUUUCCAAUCAGCCAGUAGUGCUAUCUGCAGAGUUAGCGCCAGGUAAAAACUGCAUAGUUAGUUAAGGGCUUGUAAACAUUUCACAGUAAGGUCUGUUGUAUCGGCAAAUGUGACAAAUAACAUUUGAUUUGUUUCCCCUGGAAGGAAGCCAAUGAAUUGAUGUCACAGAUAGUUCUGCUUAUUGUUGUUUCUGGCACUCAUAUCACCUUAGGGCCCUUUAACCCAUGUCUUUCUGGCAUGCUUAUUAUUCCCCCAAUUAAGGUGGCAGUCCACGGAUCCCUGUCCACCCACAAACACUGGACUAGCAGGGGAACUAGUGUUUUCAUCCAUACCUGGCAAAUAGAUUGUGUUAUAUUGAGUGUGCCCAGUGCCCUUUCAAUCAUACCAUGAGACUAUCUGCCUUGACAGAAUCUCCAGCCUACCGAAAGUGCAGUCUGGUUGAGGGAAGCUGCAAACUCCUGUCGUGGAGUGUAGAACUGAGGGUGAAAUGUAAAAAAGGUGAAUUAUUUAUGAAGGUAAAAUAUGUUUGUAGUGACACUGGUUGACUUGCAACAGUUAAUCUAUGUUUACAAAGGCAGCCCAAUUCUGAUAUUUUUUACACCAAACUAGUCUUUUGACUAAUCACUUCAGAUCUUUUCACAUCAGAUAUUUUUCACAGCUGAUCUGAUUAGUGAAAAAAGAUCAGAAUUGUGCUGACUGUGUAAACACCGCCAUAGAGGCAGAUAUAGCAUGAGAGAGAGAUGAAACCCAGGCUUUGAAGCAACCUCCUUUUGUUUGCAAAUGGAGCACAAUUAUUGCCAAGUGUUGUGAAUGAAAAGGCUGCACUUCUAAAAUUUGUUAUCUAAGCCAUGUAUGUUUUCAGUGUUUCAUCUUCAUAGGAGAAUCAGACAUAAGAUACCAAAAUAAUUCCUCAGUAAGCCUACAAUGGCAUAGGCAAUGGCCCUGACAAAACUGCCCUGGCAAUACACAACACAUUUGAAGGCCAAAACCCACACAUUUCCAGUCUGAUUAUUAAAUCUGCUACAUGUUAUUCCUAAUCAUAACAUAUAUGGCAACCAAUAAUUUGUGUGUGUGGUGUGGGUGUGUGUGCAUGUGCGAGAACCUCCUGACAGGCCUUGUGGGUAAUCCUCAGACAUGAUGGAUAAUGAUGGUGCUCUGAGUGCAGAGAGAGGUGAU